AGGGAAAACAAGCCAUUUUCUCUCCCUUAUCCCAACAGGAUAUAAUUGACACAGCAUGUGAAGUCUUGGCAGACCCUUCUCUUCCAGAACUAUUCUGGGGAACAGAGCCAACCUCUGGUCUUGGGAUCAUUCUGGACAGUGUAUGUGGAAUGUUUCCCCAUCUCCUCUCCCCACUCCUACAAUUGCUACGGGCCCUCGUAUCAGGGAAAUCUACUGCCAAAAAGGUAUAUAGUUUCUUGGAUAAAAUGUCUUUCUACAAUGAGCUUUAUAAGCAUAAGCCCCAUGAUGUGAUCUCCCAUGAAGAUGGAACUCUCUGGCGGAGGCAAACACCCAAACUCCUUUACCCACUUGGUAAGAUAAAGACCUUGGUUUAGUAACCU